ACGGAGGGGGCUAGCGUUGUUCGGAAUUACUGGGCGUAAAGCGCACGUAGGCGGCUUUGUAAGUUAGAGGUGAAAGCCCGGGGCUCAACUCCGGAAUUGCCUUUAAGACUGCAUCGCUAGAAUUGUGGAGAGGUAAGUGGAAUUCCGAGUGUAGAGGUGAAAUGCGUAGAUAUCUGGAGGAAUACCGGUGGCGAAGGCGGCAUCCUGGACCAUUACUGACGCUGAGGCGCGAAAGCUAGGGGAGCAAACGGGA
rnacentral:rRNA from 1 species